UACGUAGGCAGCGAGCGUUGUUCGGAAUUACUGGGCGUAAAGAGUGUGUAGGCGGUGCUCUAAGUUCGGUGUGAAAUCUCCUGGCUUAACUGGGAGGGUGCGCCGGAAACUGGAGUGCUUGAGCGUGGGAGAGGAAAGCGGAAUUCCUGGUGUAGCGGUGAAAUGCGUAGAUAUCAGGAGGAACACCGGUGGUGUAAACGGCUUUCUGGACCAUAACUGACGCUGAGGCACGAAAGCGUGGGUAGCAAACAGG
rnacentral:rRNA from 1 species